rnacentral:rRNA from 1 species
GGAAUAUUGGACAAUGGGCGCAAGCCUGAUCCAGCCAUGCCGCGUGUGUGAAGAAGGCCUUCGGGUUGUAAACCGCUUUUGUCAGGGAAGAAAUCUCCUGAGCUAAUACCUCGGGGGGAUGACGGUACCUGAAGAAUAAGCACCGGCUAACUACGUGCCAGCAGCCGCGGUAAACCGUAGGACGCAAGCGUUAUCCGGAAUUACUGGGCGUAAAGGGCGCGCAGGCGGUUGUUUAAGUUAGGCAUGAAAGCUCCCUGGCUAAACCGGGAGAGGAUGUCUGAUACUGGACGACUAGAGUACGUUAGAGGGGUGUAGAAUUCCGCGUGUAGUGGUGAAAUGCGUAGAGAUGCGGAGGAAUACCAGAGGCGAAGGCGGCACCCUGGGACGAGACUGACGCUGAGGCGCGAAAGCAUGGGUAGCGAA